AGAGUUUGAUCCUGGCUCAGAACGAACGCUGGCGGCGUGCCUAACACAUGCAAGUCGAACGAGAAAGUUCUUCGGAAUGAGUACAGUGGCGCACGGGUGAGUAACACGUGGAUAAUCUGCCCUUGAGUCCGGGAUAACCCUUCGAAAGAAGGGCUAAUACCAGAGAGACCACAAGAUCUUAAGAUCUAGGGGUUAAAGUUGAGGACCGUAAGGCUUAACGCUCAUGGAGGAGUCCGCGCACUAUCAGCUAGUUGGUAAGGUAACGGCUUACCAAGGCUAUGACGGUUAGCUGAUCUGAGAGGAUGAUCAGCCACACUGGAACUGAGACACGGUCCAGACUCCUACGGGAGGCAGCAAUGGGGAAUUUUGCACAAUGGGCGCAAGCCUGAUGCAGCAACGCCGCGUGAGUGAUGACGGCUUUCGGGUUGUAAAGCUCUGUCGCCUGGGACAAACGGCGCGCGAACUAAUAAGUCGUGCGAAUGAUGGUACCAGGAGAGGAAGAGGCGGCUAACUCUGUGCCAGCAGCCGCGGUA
rnacentral:rRNA from 1 species